GGAAGAUUCGCAUAAUGGUAUUGCAGCAGGUUGCUAACCUGUGGACCGAAAGGUUCUGUGAGUUCGACCCUCACAUCUUCCU
rnacentral:tRNA from 1 species